GACGAACGCUGGCGGCGUGCUUAACACAUGCAAGUCGAACGGCAAGGCCCUGCUUGCAUGGUCCUCGAGUGGCGAACGGGUGAGUAACACGUGGGUGAUCUGCCCUGCACUUCUUGAUAAGCCUGGGCAACUGGGUCUAAUCCCUGAUAGGACCCAUUUUUUGUGUGUUGGUUGGAAAGUUUUUUCGGUGUAGGAUGAGCUCGCGGCCUAUCAGCUUGUUGGGGGGGUAAUGGCCUACCAAGGCGCCGACGGGUAGCCGGCCUGAGAGGGUGGACGGCCACAUUGGGACUGAGAGAAGGCACAGACGCCGAAGGGAGGAAGAAGGGGGGAAGAUUGCACAAGGGGCGCAAGCCGGAUGCAGAGAGGCCGCGGGGGGGAUGACGGCCUUCGGGGUGUAAAAACCUUGCGCGAGGGAAGAAGCUUUUUGUGACGGUACCUAGAUAAGAAGCACCGGCUAACUACGUG
rnacentral:rRNA from 1 species